rnacentral:rRNA from 1 species
AGGCCAGACUCCUACGGGAGGCAGCAGUGAGGAAUAUUGGUCAAUGGGCGGAAGCCUGAACCAGCCAAGUCGCGUGAGGGAUUAAGGCCCUGCGGGUCGUAAACCUCUUUUGCCGGGGAGCAGAGGUCCGGACGUGUCCGGGCCGGGAGAGUACCCGGAGAAAAAGCAUCGGCUAACUCCGUGCCAGCAGCCGCGGUAAUACGGAGGAUGCGAGCGUUAUCCGGAUUUAUUGGGUUUAAAGGGUGCGUAGGCGGGCAUUUAAGCCGGCGGUCAAAUGUCGGGGCUCAACCCCGGCCUGCCGUUGAAACUGCAUCCCUUGAGUGCGCGAGAAGUAUGCGGAAUGCGUGGUGUAGCGGUGAAAUGCAUAGAUAUCACGCAGAACUCCGAUUGCGAAGGCAGCGUACCGGCGCCCAACUGACGCUGAAGCACGAAGGCGUGGGUAUCGAACAGGAUUAGAUACCCUCGUAA